rnacentral:rRNA from 1 species
GGCCAGCAGCCGCGGUCAUACGUAGGGUGCAAGCAUUAUCCGGAGUGACUGGGCGUAAAGAGUUGCGUAGGUGGCGUAUUAAGCGAAUGGUGAAAUCUGGUGGCUCAACCACACAGACUAUUAUUCGAACUGGUACGCUCGAGAGUAGCAGAGGUAACUGGAAUUUCUAGUGUAGGAGUGAAAUCCGUAGAUAUUAGAAGGAACACCAAUGGCGUAGGCAGGUUACUGGGCUAUUUCUGACACUAAGGCACGAAAGCGUGGGGAGCGAACCGGAUUAGAUACCCGGGUAGUCCACGCCGUAAACUAUGGAUACUAGCUGUUGGAGGUAUCGACCCCUUCAGUAGCGAAGCUAACGCGUUAAGUAUCCCGCCUGUGGAGUACGGUCGCAAGACUAAAACAUAAAGGAAUUGACGGGGGCCCGCACAAGG